rnacentral:rRNA from 1 species
UACGUAGGGGGCGAGCGUUGUCCGGAUUUAUUGGGCGUAAAGAGCGUGUAGGCGGCCAGGUAGGUCUGCUGUGAAAACUCGAGGCUUAACCUCGAGCUGUCGGCGGAAACCAUCUGGCUAGAGUCCGGAAGAGGAGAAUGGAAUUCCCGGUGUAGCGGUGAAAUGCGCAGAUAUCGGGAAGAACACCCGUGGCUAAGGCGGCUCUCUAGUACGGUACUGACGCUGAGACGCGAAAGCGUGGGGAGCGAACAGG